rnacentral:lncRNA from 1 species
AUAUCUUUAUUACAUAAUAGGGGUUCUAUACAAAGUAACUAAAUAAUUACAUCAUAUGACAACAAUUAUCCCCCACAACCAUAGUGACUGGGAGACGACGUCAUAGACCUCUCCGUACUCAUCGUAGCAUCCUUCAUGUUCCUUCGACGGUACCUAUUCUUAUCUAGUGUAAAUAUAGCAAGAGUGAGCUCACACAUGUUCAUCGCUCAACAAGUAUGGGAAAUAAUGUGCAUGAGCUCACUUACGAUGGGGCCUCAUGUGAAGUGUUAGUCUUACCAAGGAAAAUGGUUAAAGCUUAGCAUUGCUUUUAAUAAGUUGGUCAAAAUUUUAAUUAGCAAUUGCUAAGUAUAAGUACAUACCAAUAAGAUAUCACAAUUAAUAAUAAAUCCCACAAUGCAAUGCAAAUGAUAAGUUAAGUGUAAUUCCAUAAGUUAAAAAUGUGAGAGUCCCGAGUCGCUCUUGACCGUGAGCACUGCUGAUAUACCAGUUUUACACUCUGCAGAGAUUGUACCCUUUACCCACAAGUCAUGUUACUCAUUUGCCAAGGGAUUGUGACUUCCCAUUCAUCUCUACCAAGGAGACGAGGUGGGAUAGCACUAAGAGAUCUUUACAAAGUUCCACUAGUAUGAAAAAAACCCUACAGAUUUAGGCAGAGGGGGUAUAUGAAUCCCUUGUCUGAUAAGCUAUCACAACAGUUCGACCCGAAAACCUCCCUAUACUUGCACAACUCCUUCCCACUUGCUCCUUUCGAGUAAGGUUCUCAUAUAUCAGCUUUCCUAAUUAAUCAGUCAAGGGUGUCCCAUACCACACUUGUGGUAGCACUUUUGUCUCAGGUUAAGCUCCAUGUUCCAAUUAACAAAAUGAUAUUAUCAUGAACAAUGAUAAAUAAUCCAUCAAUAUAUAAUAAAACAUGACCAUAAUUCAUAAGUAACAUUAACCAAAAAACCAGGUAGAGUAAUAACAAGACUAUCCAAUAAUUUAUUUGUUUUCAAGGCGUAGGGUAGACAAAACUAGGUAAAUUAUUAAGUCUCAUCAGUUUAAUCUAACAGUGUCAUGGUGAUUAACAUAACAUUAUUGGGUCAAAGAAUGUGAUCAAGGACACGACUUGGCUUAUACUUGCGAUUCCAGGUAUUCGGGUGCUUCCACAACAAUUGGGCUUUAGAUUCCUCAUCACCUCGCUUCUAUGUGUAGCAAUAUAUAUAGACAAACAUGUAAUAGGUGGAAAUAACAUUACACUAAAGAUGGAAAACAAACCACACGAUAAUAUUCUAUGCGUCGCUACGAGAUCGUAGGUUGAAGGACCAUAAAAUUCAGAGUUAAAACGUGAAAGAUUUGAAUUUCCUAAGUUUCUAGGUUUAUUUUUUUGUUAAAAAUCAAUUACCAUCUUUUAUUUUAUAUAAAUAACUAAAUUGUUGGGUUGCGACUAGUAUUUUUUGGAAGUUCAAGGUCUGAUUCGCAAGAAUUCAGGACCUAACUAAAAUACUUUACUACUAUACCUGGACUACGAGUUGUUUUAUUGUUUCGUGAGGUACUCUUUUAGAUAAAAGCCACGGCUGAAGUGUUACGAACUCAUCUGAGCCGUUGGAUCCUAGGUCUUCGGUCAGAUUGGAUUUCUAUGUAUUAUGAACCGGUACCGAUCUGUGGCCGCAAAAUCUGAGUUCAAUGGCAUGGCCGCUCUCCCAUUAAUCUCGGUUAUCCGAUCCGAGAUCAGUGACCACGAUUUAAAACGACAAAGGGGCAUCAUAGCUCUAAUCUCAACCGUUCAAAUUGAAAUCGUCGGCCCCGGGUUCUUCUUCCUCCUCCCGACCUGGACCGAGCGGUGCAUCCUGCCCCAUCGUGAUGCACACCAACGGGCAUGCACAGGCUCCCCCAACGCAUCACUCCGAAUGCUACCGGGCCCAAAAGAAAGCGAAAGAGAUAUAUAACUCGGAGGGGGUACCUCUCCACCGGUGACGGUGAGUACAGAACUGCCCACGACGGUGCAGACGGUGUCGGCAUAUGAAGAACUCGGUGACGAAAUCCUCUCGCUUUUGAUGCUCCUCGGCGCUCGAAAACGGUGCACGCGCAUUCCACGCAUCCAGCAGAUCUCCUUCAGCUAGUCCUUGUGGGCGAAACCCAGGUACUAUAAGGACACGGUGUCGGUGAUCGCUCUCUCCCCUAUUCUGCUCGACCCGACAAGUGCUCUCACCGUGGAUAUUUCAUACCAUGGCAAGGUGGCACGGGCGUUUGCUAUUUAUGCUCCAGAACGACCCAGAUGACAACGGAAAUCGGGCUAAGCACGGGAUCCUUGGCGACAUAGCAGCAA